rnacentral:lncRNA from 1 species
AUGGCAAGUGUCACUUUCUCCAUCGGGGCCAUUACUGUCCAUCCUCGAACACCGCCAGCCAGCCCCGUCCCGGAGGCUUCCUUGCAUCAGCAAACAGGCCAAAACCCAACCCCGCCAGCAGCAGGACCCGGCAGCUCGGGCACAAAAGGAAACUCCAUCCUUGGAGCAGAGGCUAGGCCGGCCCCUGCUCUGCCCUCUGCCAAGGUGGGAAGCUGUUUGUCUCCUGGCAAUGUCCCUCUCCCCCAUACUACAAAGUACGCUGACUGCCCCUCAUCCUCUCCGGGGACCCAGCCUUCAGCCUUGGGCUGUGAAGGACCUUUGACCUGCGUCCCGAAACCUCCUGGGAGUUUCUCUCUGGAGAACAGAUGGGCGGGUGGGUGUGAGUCACGGCGGCAGGAGAACUCUGCUCUGUUGGUCACUGCCUGCCUGAGUCAGUGCCCGCCCAUAGGCCAAGGGGAUGCCAGUGUCUGGUCCUCGCGACUGCCACCUCCCCGAGUGAGUCAGGGGCAGAGGGGCACACUCCCCCCCUCCCCCGCUCCCUCCCCCCGCCCCCGGGCCUGGCCAGUUUGGCCAAGUCCUGCCUGGGCAGGGCCUAAGACAGGCUGGGACCAGCCAGGAAGUCUCCAAGCCUCUGGGCAACAGCAACCUACUGAUCCACUGUUUUUUAAUUUGGGGAAUUUCACUGCCAGCAAGAGAAGUGGGCUCUCAGACCUCACAGCUGCUCACUUUCCUUUUAACCUUGAACAUCUCUCUUCCCUCUUGACGGCUGUCCCACUUGUACAACAAGGGAUAGCAAAGGGUGCCUGGGUGGGUCAGUCAGUUAAGCAACUGACUUCGGCUCAGGUCAUGAUCUCACAGUUCGUGGGUUCAAGCCCCGCGUCGGGCUCUGUGCUGACAGCUCGGAGCCUGGAGCCUGCUUCCGAUUCUGUGUCUCCCUCUCUCUCUGCCCCUCCCCCACUUGUGCUCUGUCUCUGUCUCUCUCUCUCAAAAAUAAAUGCAAAAAAAAUUAAAACAACAACAACAACAAAGGAUAGCAAAGCGAGGCCCCUGGCCACUUAG